UGUGGGAGCGAGCUUGCUCGCGAUAUCGGAGUGUCAGUUAAUGAUAAUGUCAACUGAUCCACCGCCAUCGCGAGCAAGCUCGCUCCCACG
rnacentral:misc_RNA from 1 species